rnacentral:rRNA from 1 species
UACGAAGGGGGCAAGCGUUGUUCGGAAUUACUGGGCGUAAAGGGCGCGUAGGCGGCCCGCUAAGUCGAACGUGAAAUCCCCAGGCUCAACCUGGGAACUGCGUCCGAUACUGGCAGGCUUGAAUCCGGGAGAGGGAUGUGGAAUUCCAGGUGUAGCGGUGAAAUGCGUAGAUAUCUGGAGGAACACCGGUGGCGAAGGCGGCAUCCUGGACCGGUAUUGACGCUGAGGCGCGAAAGCUAGGGGAGCAAACGGG